rnacentral:tRNA from 1 species
AGCAGUGUGGCUUAGUGGCAAGAGCCCAGGCCUUGGAGUCAGGGGGCGUGGGUUCUAAUCCCAGCUCUGCCA